rnacentral:rRNA from 1 species
UACCUGGACAGGAGCGCACGGCGCACAGAGCGCCUGCAGCACCCACUGGAUCGGGGGUUAGGUGGUGUCGGGGUAGGGAGGGUGGAGGAGGAGGGAACAGGCGGCGGCGUAGGGUGGGAGAGGAGGAGGGAGAAGACGAAGGAUGGAGGAGGGGCCUAUCACUGUUCAGAACAACUAACCCUCUGUACCGUCCUGCCGACCGGAGAGCCCGACCCGUGAGACUUUGGCCCUCGGCCUCGCCAGUCCUCGCAGCUGAGGAGGAGGAGGUGGCGUCGGAAGUGGGGCAGGGUGACGCAGAGCAGGCAGCGAAGCAAACUAGAUCUGUGUCUCAGCCGUACCAGAAACGGCGUGCGACCACCGCCGCCGCCGUAGUGCGACCGCCGGGACUAGCCGGACCACCUACGGUACCUCUCGGCCACGUCGUCCGCGACCCCGCUCUCCCGCUCGUCCUCGCCGUUCGACGCCCGCGACGACGAGAGCGAUACGGAGGCCUCGGUGGACUCUUGCGGCCGCCGCGCCGCGGCAGCGAGCCGGUCAAGGAGCUCUACCUUGGCACGGACUGCUCGGACAUAGGUGCUACGUUGGCUGCCUCCUUGUUCUAAACGUACAACAAUAAGAUUUUUUUCCUAAACGUACGAACAACGAGAAAAAAAUCCCUGUACAACAACGAGAAAAACUUAAUCGCACUCACCCGUUUUUUAAUCGUGAUUUAAACAACUGAAAGUAAAAAAACUUGUUGCUGUCAACAACUGUGUUAUUCAGACGUAAAGCGAAGUCUUAAGUCUCCUCCAGUUGUAAAAAAAUAUCAGGAUUGUUCCAACUAUUCCUUAAGUACGAACUACCAAAAACUGCAAGAUGUAUACAAGUCCUUUCUUCUAUCAUCCUGUUUCGAUCUCCUCUUGAUACCACUUUUCUUAUUAAACGAAACAGUGACAUAUUCCCCUCAAUGCAGGUACCAAUUCCACGUCUAGUUCCUCCAGCUGUUUACCCUACUCCAACCCACUACACAUGCUCCCUCCUUUUUCCACUACACUUCCAAUCGAUGAUACUAGUUCCUUUAUUGUACAUAGACACACCAAAGAAGGACAACAACUAGUCGGUAACGACGUAAAUUCACUGUCACCAGUCCUGCUACGUCAACAACUCUAACUGCUGUCUCUUUCUCGAUACAUCACAAAGUUCCUUUAUACUUACUUCACUAUCAUGAACGUUUGUACCUGAGGAGAAACGACCUGCUCCUAUUGAUUUUAUGUUUAAAUCAUCCUUCAUUAAUGUACUAACUAGAGUCAAAACAUGUACAAUCCACUCGUAAUAUUCAAGAUGAAGGGUAUUCUCUCACAUAAAAUCACAACGUCUAACAAAGAUAAAAUCUCGUUCUUCGGUUUAGUACAACCAGCAGCAUUUAGAACCUUUUGAACAACAAAUAACAGUGAAGAUAGAUACAAUAUUUGAAAACAAGAACCACAGCAUGAACAGUUAGAACCAAACGGGAAAGUAAAGUUCAAACGGGAAGGUAACGGCAUCUGGUUGUACAGGAACAAAGAAGUUAACUAAGGAGUAAAGUACAGACGUGAAGAUAAUGUCAUCUUGUUGUACAACAUUUGUACCACGACCCGUAACAAACAGGUCAAGGGAAGUUUUAUCUUCUCUACCGAUAUCUCACCUAGGUAGUGAUUUCUCUACUGUUUACAACACGUUCCGUAACAAACAAGUCGAAAAUUUUUUUUACUUCCUUAAUGUCACGUGGACUGGAUAUUUCCCCGACGUUUCCUGUUUUACGAUACCUAGGUCUCACCCUCCCCUCUCAAUGGUUGUUGCAUAAUUCCUGUUUGGCACUGUACCUAAGGAUUCAAGGUCGAAUGUAGUUUUAAUAUCUCUCUUACGGGCGUAAAACUUUUGAAAACGUAUCAAACUUCGAUACAAAGAAAGUUAAAAGUAAUAAGUUUCCUAGGAAUAAUCACGGUCAAACAGUUCGUAAAUAACAGUUUAUUGAGAAACAAACUUUACUCUGGAACCGCGUUC